AGAGUUUGAUCAUGGCUCAGAACGAACGCUGGCGGCGUGCUUAACACAUGCAAGUCGAACGCGAACGAGUUCUUCGGAACUUUAGUAGAGUGGCGCACGGGUGAGUAACGCGUAAGUAAUCUACCCUCGCAUCUGGGAUAACCCACCGAAAGGUGUGCUAAUACCGGAUACGUCUAAGUUAAUAUCUUUUUUUUAGAGAAAGGUGGCCUCUGAUUCAAGCUACUGUGCGGGGAGGAGCUUGCGUACCAUUAGCUAGUUGGUAGGGUAACGGCCUACCAAGGCGACGAUGGUUAGCGGGUCUGAGAGGAUGAUCCGCCACACUGGAACUGAAACACGGACCAGACUCCUACGGGAGGCAGCAGUGAGGAAUAUUGCGCAAUGGGGGCAACCCUGACGCAGCGACGCCGCGUGGAUGAUGAAGGCCUUCGGGUUGUAAAAUCCUGUCAGAUGGGAAGAAGUGCUAUAUGGUUAAUAUCUGUAUAGUUUGACGGUACCAUCAAAGGAAGCACCGGCUAACUCCGUGCCAGCAGCCGCGGUAAUACGGAGGGUGCAAGCGUUGUUCGGAAUUACUGGGCGUAAAGCGCGCGUAGGCGGCUAUGUAAGUCAGAUGUGAAAGCCCGCGGCUCAACCGUGGAAGUGCAUUUGAAACUGUAUAGCUUGAGUACUGGAGGGGGUAGUGGAAUUUCCCGGUGUAGAGGU
rnacentral:rRNA from 1 species